UCGGGAAUUUUGGGCAAUGGGCGAAAGCCUGACCCAGCAACGCCGCGUGAGGGAUGAAGUAUUUCGGUAUGUAAACCUCGAAAGAAUGGGAAGAAUAAAUGACGGUGCCAUUUAUAAGCUCCGGCUAACUACGUGCCAGCAGCCGCGGUAAUACGUAGGGAGCAAGCGUUGUUCGGAUUUACUGGGCGUAAAGGGCGCGUAGGCGGCGCGGUAAGUCACUUGUGAAAUCUCUGAGCUUAACUCAGAACGGCCAAGUGAUACUGCUGUGCUAGAGUGCGGAAGAGGCAACCGGAAUUCUUGGUGUAGCUGUGAAAUGCGUAGAUAUCAAGAGGAACACCUGAGGCGAAGGCGGGUUGCUGGGCCGACACUGACGCUGAUGCGCGAAAGCCAGGGGAGCAAACG
rnacentral:rRNA from 1 species